ACACCAAGUCUGGGUGACAGUGACUGUUUCAUAAUUGGGAAUUCCCUUUGGAAGACAUAACCUGGUGAAAGGCAAAAGAGAGCUCCUGCUGAACCAAAAAGAAAUGGACUGUUUAUGCACUGAGCUGUAAAGUGAUAUUCAUGAUGACUGAAGCCUGAACAACAUUAAAAUAUCCAGAUCCUCUGCUC